CCUACGGGUGGCAGCAGUGAGGAAUAUUGGUCAAUGGACGAGAGUCUGAACCAGCCAAGUAGCGUGAAGGAUGACUGCCCUAUGGGUUGUAAACUUCUUUUAUAAAGGAAUAAAACGAGGCACGUGUGCCUUUUUGUAUGUACUUUAUGAAUAAGGAUCGGCUAACUCCGUGCCAGCAGCCGCGGUAAUACGGGGGAUCCGAGCGUUAUCCGGAUUUAUUGGGUUUAAAGGGAGCGUAGAUGGGUUGUUAAGUCAGUUGUGAAAGUUUGCGGCUCAACCGUAAAAUUGCAAUUGAUACUGGCAGUCUUGAGUACAGUUGAGGUAGGCGGAAUUCGUGGUGUAGCGGUGAAAUGCUUAGAUAUCACGAAGAACCCCGAUUGCGAAGGCAGCUUACUAAACUGUGACUGACAUUGAUGCUCGAAAGUGUGGGUAUCAAACAGGAUUAGAUACCCUGGUAGUC
rnacentral:rRNA from 1 species